GAGUUUGAUCCUGGCUCAGAUUGAACGCUGGCGGCAUGCCUUACACAUGCAAGUCGAACGGUAACGGGCCUUCGGGUGCCGACGAGUGGCGAACGGGUGAGUAAUGUAUCGGAACGUACCAUUCAGUGGGGGAUAACGUAGCGAAAGUUACGCUAAUACCGCAUAUUCUGUGAGCAGGAAAGCAGGGGAUCGCAAGACCUUGCGCUGAUUGAGCGGCCGAUAUCAGAUUAGCUAGUUGGUGAGGUAAAAGCUCACCAAGGUGACGAUCUGUAGCGGGUCUGAGAGGAUGAUCCGCCACACUGGAACUGAGACACGGUCCAGACUCCUACGGGAGGCAGCAGUGGGGAAUUUUGGACAAUGGGGGCAACCCUGAUCCAGCCAUGCCGCGUGAGUGAAGAAGGCCUUCGGGUUGUAAAGCUCUUUCAGCCGGGAAGAAAACGCAUGGGUUAAUACCCUGUGUGGAUGACGGUACCGGAAUAAGAAGCACCGGCUAACUACGUGCCAGCAGCCGCGGUAAUUCC
rnacentral:rRNA from 1 species